UUUUUUUUUUUUUUUUUUUUUUUUUUUGAGACGAAGUCUCACUCUGUCGCCCAGGCUGGAGUGCAGUGGCGCAUCUCGGCUCACUGCAAGCUCCGUCUCCCACGUUCACGCCAUUCUCCUGCCUCAGCCUCCCGAGUAGCUGGGACUACAGGCGUCUGCCACCAUGCAGCUAAUUUUUUGUAUUUUUUUUUUUAGUAGAGAUGGGGUUUCACCGUGUUAGCCAGGAUGGUCACGAUCUCCUGACCUCGUGAUCCGCCUGCCUCGGCCUCCCAAAGUGCUGGGAUUACCGGCAUGAGCCACCAUUUCCGGCAACAGGCAGACUUUUAACACAUUCCUUACCUAAACUUUUAAAAGGGACAAAAGAUAUAUGCCUUUGGUUUGGGAGAUGACGAAACAUAUGCUUUAAUGACUAUUGGGUUGGAAUCUUCUUGAGAGAGGAUCCUUCUUAGCCUAGACUAGAGUCUUCAAAAGCCCACAGUGCUUCGUAAAGUUUCAUACGUGGAAGAGAGAAGGAUGUUCCACUGGAAAAGCAGAAUUGCAGCUGAGCUGUCCUGAAAUGCCCAGCACUCUGUGGAGACGCGGAGGAGGUUUCCUGGGACAAAGUGCUGAACCAGGGUGAAAAUGGACUGAUACAGUAGGUGACAUGUGUCCAGCCUGCUUGGUUCCCAACUUUGCUGGAUCCAUUCUAUCUGUGGACGGAGCCACUAUCUCUGAAAGGAGAGAUCUCAUCCGCUGUCCACUGGGGAAUGGCCUUGCCCUAUGGCCCCUACCAAACAAAAACGUAGCAGAACACAGCAAAACAGCAGAGUCGGAAUGUGAAGUGCUGAUAGAGUUCCCUAACGCUGACUGUCUGCUCUGCAUUUCUGGAGAUUGUAUGCCUGUCAUCCUGCAUUCCUUGAUGGUGAAGCCAAGGCCUGAAGACCUUUCCUGCAAGGUCGCAGAGGAAGAGGCAGAAGAAGGACCAGAACCCAGCUCCCCUGACUCCCUAUCCAGUGCUCUUCUCAUAGAUUACAUUGCUUCAGCAUCCACCUGGCUAUUGCUCCAUCCAGGGGUUACAGGAGUCACUGACUGUUUUGGUUGCUUCUUGGUUGGAGGAUGUUGUGCCUCACCGAUGAGAGCCGGAAGCAAAGGUACCAGUUCUUAGAGGAAGCAUAGGAAUGUGUCCCUUCCUGCUCGGGUCUCUCAACUGAACUCAACCCUUCCUUGAUUGAUUGACAAGCAUGUUAUCUCUCAUAAUCCCUGCCCGGUAAGGGCUGAUGUCCCCAUUUUACAGAUGAGGAUAUUGGAGCUCAGAGAAGUGAAAUGAUUGCUGAAGGUCACACAGCCUGGCUUCAAGCCUCUCGGGCUCCAAAAGGCAUCUUCUGUUCUCUCCGUCAGGAAGCCUCUUUUGGAUGAUUAACUGAGAUUAAAAAUGAAAAGACACAUGAAAGAAA
ensembl:lncRNA novel transcript